UCGUCAGCUCGUGUCGUGAGAUGUUGGGUUAAGUCCCGCAACGAGCGCAACCCUUAUUGUUAGUUGCUACCAUUUAGUUGAGCACUCUAGCGAGACUGCCCGGGUUAACCGGGAGGAAGGUGGGGAUGACGUCAAAUCAUCAUGCCCCUUAUGUCUAGGGCUACACACGUGCUACAAUGGCAAGUACAAAGAGAAGCAAUACCGCGAGGUGGAGCAAAACUCAAAAACUUGUCUCAGUUCGGAUUGUAGGCUGAAACUCGCCUACAUGAAGCUGGAGUUGCUAGUAAUCGCGAAUCAGAAUGUCGCGGUGAAUACGUUCCCGGGCCUUGUACACACCGCCCGUCACACCAUGAGAGUUGGCAAUACCCAACGUACGUGAUCUAACCCGCAAGGGAGGAAGCGUCCUAAGGUAGGGUCAGCGAUUGGGGUGAAGUCGUAACAAGGUAGCCGUA
rnacentral:rRNA from 1 species